GGUUUCACCGUGUUGGCCAGGAUGGUCUCAUCUCCUGACCUCGUGAUCCGUCCGCUUCGGCCUCCCAAAGUGCUGGGAUUACAGGCACGAGUCAUCACACCCGGCCGCACGUUUCUUUUGAAGCUUACAAGUUGAUCGAUUACGAAAACAAGAUAGCUAACUCAUCCAGAAUUUGAGUAUAAGUGGAUCUUGAGGUCCUCAGAGCUGAGACAACUUGAGACAACUUGCUCAGACACCUGUUCAAAUGUCUGCAGGAUGGUUGGCCAAGUGCAAGACAUCACAUGAGCUUCUUGACAGCUGCACGAUGGUAACUUAAUGAGACACAGAACAGUUUUCUUGUGAAAUAGCUGGACAUGCAGAGAGGUCACAUGAAUAAUAAGCUCACACCUGUGUUCCUGCCACCCGGAUAUUAUUCAAAGCAAAAAACAUCAUAAAUAAAGUCAAG
rnacentral:lncRNA from 1 species